AUGUAUAACCAGGUUCUGACGGAGAGGAACAACCUGCUAGCUCAAGAGCUGGAGCAGUGUCGGACACAGCUGAAUGCUUCUACCGCCGAACUGAAAGAGUCCAAGAUGGCAUCUUCUGGUCAACUGGAAGAGAAGUUGAAAACCGCUCAAGCGGGAGAGAAAGAGGCAAAAAGACUACACGUCGCAGGCGAACGGGUGUUGAUCCGAGUCAUGCAGGAGAAAAACAAACUCCAAGAUUCAAAUACCAAACUGGGCGAAGAACUGAAAGAUGUGCGAGCCCAGCUAGCCGACGCCAUGAAGGAGAACAAAAAGUUGUGA
rnacentral:rRNA from 1 species